rnacentral:rRNA from 1 species
GACGAACGCUGGCGGCGUGCUUAACACAUGCAAGUCGAACGGAAAGGCCCUGCUUUUGUGGGGUGCUCGAGUGGCGAACGGGUGAGUAACACGUGAGUAACCUGCCCUUGACUUUGGGAUAACUUCAGGAAACUGGGGCUAAUACCGGAUAGGAGCUCCUGCUGCAUGGUGGGGGUUGGAAAGUUUCGGCGGUUGGGGAUGGACUCGCGGCUUAUCAGCUUGUUGGUGGGGUGGUGGCUUACCAAGGCUUUGACGGGUAGCCGGCCUGAGAGGGUGACCGGCCACAUUGGGACUGAGAUACGGCCCAGACUCCUACGGGAGGCAGCAGUGGGGAAUAUUGCACAAUGGGCGGAAGCCUGAUGCAGCAACGCCGCGUGCGGGAUGACGGCCUUCGGGUUGUAGACCGCUUUCGCCUGUGACGAAGCGUGAGUGACGGUAAUGGGUAAAGAAGCACCGGCUAACUACGUG